rnacentral:tRNA from 1 species
GCCGGGGUUCCGGAGCCUGGUACCGGGCAGUCUGCGUGAGCCUGUGCCCUUCGGGGCGCGUGGGUUCAAAUCCCACUCCCGGCGCCA